UCGUCGUUCCAGAUUGUAAUU
rnacentral:piRNA from 1 species